GACGAACCGUGCGAACGUUGUUCGGAUUCACUGGGCUUAAAGGGCGCGUAGGCGGGCGGUCAAGUCGGGGGUGAAAUCUUUCCGCUUAACGGGAAGCGUGCCUCCGAUACUGAUCGCCUCGAGGGAGGUAGGGGCAUGUGGAACUUCCGGUGGAGCGGUGAAAUGCGUAGAUAUCGGAAGGAACGCCGGUGGCGAAAGCGACGUGCUGGACCUCUUCUGACGCUGAGGCGCGAAAGCCAGGGGAGCAAACGGG
rnacentral:rRNA from 1 species